AAUGGGCAGCGCGGCUUACCAUGCAGUCGAGGGGCAGCAUAAAAGUAGCAAUACUUUGGUGGCGACCGGCGCACGGGUGAGUAACGCGUAUGCAACCUACCUAUCAGAGGGGGAUAACCCGGCGAAAGUCGGACUAAUACCGCAUAAAACAGGGGCACCGCAUGGUGAUAUUUGUUAAAAAUUUAUUGCUGAUAGAUGGGCAUGCGUUCCAUUAGGUAGUUGGAGAGGUAACGGCUCACCAAGCCCACGAUGGAUAGGGGAACUGAGAGGUUGGUCCCCCACACUGGUACUGAGACACGGACCAGACUCCUACGGGAGGCAGCAGUGAGGAAUAUUGGUCAAUGGGCGAGAGCCUGAACCAGCCAAGUCGCGUGAAGGAAGAAGGAUCUAUGGUUCGUAAACUUCUUUUGCAGGGGAAUAAAGUGCAGGACGUGUCCUGUUUUGUAUGUACCCUGAGAAUAAGGAUCGGCUAACUCCGUGCCAGCAGCCGCGGUAAUACGGAGGAUCCGAGCGUUAUCCGGAUUUAUUGGGUUUAAAGGGUGCGUAGGUGGUUUAAUAAGUCAGCGGUGAAAGUUUGCAGCUUAACUGUAAAAAUGCCGUUGAAACUGUUAGACUUGAGUGUAAAUGAGGUAGGCGGAAUGCGUGGUGUAGCGGUGAAAUGCUUAGAUAUCACGCAGAACUCCGAUUGCGAAGGCAGCUUACCAAGCUACAACUGACACUGAAGCACGAAAGCGUGGGGAUCAAACAGGAUUAGAUACCCUGGUAGUCCACGCAGUAAACGAUGAUUACUAGCUGUUUGCGAUACACAGUAAGCGGCACAGCGAAAGCGUUAAGUAAUCCACCUGGGGAGUACGCCGGCAACGGUGAAACUCAAAGGAAUUGACGGGGCCCGCACAAGCGGAGGAACAUGUGGUUUAAUUCGAUGAUACGCGAGGAACCUUACCCGGGUUUGAACGCAGAGAGACAGGAGUGGAACAUUCUUUUCAGCAAUGACUGUCUGC
rnacentral:rRNA from 1 species